rnacentral:rRNA from 1 species
UAAGGAAUAUUGGUCAAUGGGCGCAAGCCUGAACCAGCCAUGCCGCGUGAAGGAUGACGGCCCUAUGGGUUGUAAACUUCUUUUGUACGGGAAAAAACCUCUGGUCGUGUACCAGAGCUGAUGGUAACCGUAAGAAGUAAGCAAUCGGCUAACUCCGUGCCAGCAGCCGCGGUAAUACGGAGGAUGCGAAGCGUUAUCCGGAUUCAUUGGGUUUAAAGGGUGCGCAGGCGGAUUAUUAAGUCAGUGGUGAAAGCCUACAGCUUAACUGUAGAACUGCCAUUGAUACUGAUAUUCUUGAGUGUUGUUGAGGUAGGCGGAAUGUGUCAUGUAGCGGUGAAAUGCUUAGAUAUGACACAGAACACCGAUCGCGAAGGCAGCUUACCAAGCAACAACUGACGC